AUGGCCACUAUGGCAGCAUAUAUACUAAAUUUGGAAUGAUACAGAGAAGAGUAGCAUGACCCCUGCACAAGGAUGAAACACAUGUGUAUAAUGACCUAAACUUCCAA